GCCUCGAGGCUUCUUCCUUCCCAUCCUCUAUCUCCAUUCCUUGCUCACCCUAACCUCUCAGCUCCCCCUCUCCUGCUGGAGCCCCGCCUCAGCCCGCCCCUUCCCACACAGUCUCUGCCACCAGCCCGCUCUCACCAAUCCAUGCUCGCCCUGCCACUGAGGAGCACUUUCUAAACACAACCUUGCUUGCUAUCUCCAGCACAUACCCCCCCCCUUUUUUUUUGCCAGCACCCAGGGUCCUUUACAACCAGAUCACAGCCCUCUUUUCCAAUCUUGUCUUAUCUCAUUUCUCUGCAUCUGUACCAAAGCAAUGGCCAUUCUUUUAUGCAACCACACAUUUCCUAUGGCCAUACCUUUGCAUAUACUCUUCUUUCUGUCUGUAAUAACCUAGUCCCCUUUUGGUUAAAUUUACACACCCAUCCUUCUAGGUCUCCCUUAAAUGUUCCCUUAUCAAUGAACUUUCCAAGGUCCCCAGGCUGGUCCAGAGCAUCCUUGUGCUCAGGACCCCACAUGUUUCUCUCUCACAGCACUGAUGACUCUGGGGUCCACUGUCUAUGCUAGAUGGCAGGCUGGGCAUGGCCCUGGGGCCCAGAGAGGGUUAGUAGGAUAUACAAACAAGAUUCUUGGGCUUGGGCAAGAACUGAUGCUAACAGCCUCCUUGGCCUUGAUUCCAGGCUGUGAACAGGAUGAGACCUGCCGCUCUGAUGCAGACAUGCUGGACUACCUGCUAAGCAUGGGUCAGAUCAGCCAAAAGGAUGGCCUGCUGGUCACCUGGUACCACGGUGCCAACAGCAAGGAGCAAAUGAAGGCUGCCCUCAGCAGUGAUGUCAUGGUCCUGGAGGCAGACAUCACAACAGAAGGGCUGGGCACAGUCAACGAGACAGGAGUCGCCAUCAUGGCGCACCCCCCAGCCAUCUACAGUGACAACACCGUAGAGCAGUGGCUGGAGGCUGUGCUGGCCUCUUCCAAGAAGGGCAUCAAACUGGACUUCAAGACCAUCAAGGCUGUGGGCCCCUCCCUGGACCUCCUUCGGCGGCUGACAGAGGAGGGGAAAGUUCGAAGGCCUGUGUGGAUCAAUGCUGACAUCCAGAGGGGUCCCAAUGUGGGCAUCUCAAUAGAGGUCAAUGCCACACAGUUCCUGGCCUUGAUCCAGGAGAAGUAUCCUGAGGCAACCCUGUCUCCAGGCUGGACUACCCGGUACCUGCCCUUAUUCCCAAAUGGGACAUACACCCGGGCCAUGGUGGAGAAGAUGCAGGAGCUGGUGGGAGCACUGCCCCAGAAGGUGACCUUCCCCGUGCGGGCAGUCAUGGUCAGGGCGGCCUGGCCCCACUUCAGCUGGCUGCUUGGCCAAUCUGACAGGUACAGCCUCACGAUGUGGCAGUCCGCCUCGGACCCCGUGACAGUGGACGACCUCCUCUACAUCCGGGACAACACCGCCACCCACCAAGUCUACUAUGACCUCUUUGAGCCUCUCCUGUCACAGUUUAAGCAGCUUGCCAUGAAUACGUCACGGAAGCAAAGCUACUACACUGGGGGCAGCCUGAUCCCUGCUCUCCAGCAGCCCGGGGACGAGGGUCUGAGCGUGGAGUGGCUGGUUCCUGACAUCCAGGGCAAUGGAAGCACAGCAACAGUGCAGCUCCCAGACCGAGAAGGCAUGAUCCUGCUGGACGUGGGCCUCCAGAAGCCUGCAGCUGGGGACCCCGUGCCCAUCGUCCACACCCCAGAUGGCCGUGCCCUGGCACUGGAGUCCUGCCUGCAGCAGCUGGCCUCGCACCCCGGACACUGGGGGGUCCACGUGCACAUAGCAGAGCCCACCGCCCUGCGGCCAGCGCUGGCCACGCUGGCCACCCUCUCUGCCCUCGGCCGCCUGUCUAGGCCUGUGUGGGUCGGUGCCACAGUCUCCCACGGGAGUUUCAGGGUCCCUGGCUACAUGACUGGCAGGGAGUUGCUUACAGCUGUGGCCGACGUGUUCCCCCACGUGACGGUGGCACCAGGCUGGCCUGAGGAAGUGCUGGGCAGUGGCUACAGGGAACAGCUGCUCACAGAUAUGCUGGAGCUGUGCCAGGGCCUCUGGCAGCCCGUGUCCUUCCAGCUGCAGGCUGGGCCUCUGGGCCAGAGCCCCGCUGGAGUCGUGGCCCGGCUGCUGGAAGCUUCUCCCCGGGCCACGGUCACGGUGGAACACAGCCCUGGCCGGGGCCUCUAUGCGUCUGUGCGGGCAGCGCUGCUGGCAGCCAGGGCCGUGAAGAAGACCCGAGUCUACUACAGGCUACCCCAGAGCUACCGCCAAGACUUGCUGGCGGAUGUUGGCACACACUGA
rnacentral:lncRNA from 1 species